UACGUAGGGUGCAAGCGUUAAUCGGAAUUACUGGGCGUAAAGCGUGCGCAGGCGGUUCGCUAAGACAGAUGUGAAAUCCCCGGGCUUAACCUGGGAACUGCAUUUGUGACUGGCGGGCUAGAGUAUGGCAGAGGGGGGGUAGAAUUCCACGUGUAGCAGUGAAAUGCGUAGAGAUGUGGGAGGAAUACCGAUGGCGAAGGCAGCCCCCUGGGCCCAAUACUGACGCUCAUGCACGAAAGGCGUGGGGAGCAAACAGGAUUACGAA
rnacentral:rRNA from 1 species